CUUAACACAUGCAAGUCGAACGAGAAAGCCGAAAGCUUGCUUUUGGCGAGUAGAGUGGCGCACGGGUGAGUAACGCGUGGGUAAUCUGCCUUCGAACCGGGGAUAACACUUCGAAAGGGGUGCUAAUACCGGAUGACAUCCAGGUGUCUUCGGGCGCUUGGAUCAAAGAUGGCCUCUCCAUGGAAGCUGUUGUUCGAAGAUGAGCCCGCGUCCCAUUAGCUUGUUGGUGGGGUAAAGGCCCACCAAGGCGACGAUGGGUAGCUGGUCUGAGAGGAUGAUCAGCCACACUGGCACUGACACACGGGCCAGACUCCUACGGGAGGCAGCAGUGAGGAAUUUUGCGCAAUGGGGGUAACCCUGACGCAGCAACGCCGCGUGAGUGAAGAAGGCCUUCGGGUCGUAAAGCUCUGUCGAGUGGGAAGAACCCGCAUCAGGUGACAAGGCUGAUGCGCUGACGGUACCACUGGAGGAAGCACCGGCUAACUCCGUGCCAGCAGCCGCGGUAAUACGGAGGGUGCAAGCGUUAUUCGGAAUUACUGGGCGUAAAGGGCGCGCAGGCGGCCUGGUAAGUCAGUAGUGAAAGCCCGGGGCUCAACCCCGGAAGUGCUGCUGAAACUGUUGGGCUUGAGUAUGGUAGAGGGAAGCGGAAUUCCUGGUGUAGCGGUGAAAUGCGUAGAUAUCAGGAGGAAACACCGGUGGCGAAGGCGGCUUCCUGGACCAAUACUGACGCUGAGGCGCGAAGGCGUGGGUAGCAAACAGGAUUAGAUACCCUGGUAGUCCACGCAGUAAACGGUGACCACUUAGGCUUUUGCGGGUACUGAUACUGGCAGUUGCCGGAGCUAACGCAUUAAGUGAUCCGCCUGGGGAGUAACGGGCCGCAAGGCUUAAACUUCAAAGCGAUUGACGGGGGCCCGCACAAGCGCUGGAGCAUGUGGUUUAAUUCGACGCAACGCGAAGAACCUUACCUGGGUUUGACAUCUGGGGGAUCCCAUGGCAACAUGGGGGUGCCCUUCGGGGAGCGCCAAGACAGGUGCAGCAUGGCUAUCGUCAGCUCGAGUCGUGAGAUGUUGGGUUAAGUCCCGCUACGAGCGUGACCCCUGUCCUCAGCUACAAGCGACACGGUCGGGGACGCUGAAGAUAAAGACCCGGCCAACGGGGAGGAAGAUGGGGAUGACGACAAGUCCACAUGGCCAUGACGCCCAGGGCUAGACAUUAGCACGAGUAACAAGGGGCAGAACAUAGCGAGAUCGCGAGAUGGAGCCAAUCCCACAAAGCCGUCCUCAGUUCGGAUUGGAGUCUGCAACUCGACUCCAUGAAGUUGGAAUCGCUAGUAAUCGCGGAUCAGCAUGCCGCGGUGAAUACGUUCCCGGGCCUUGUACACACCGCCCGUCACACCAUGAGAGUUGGCUAUACCCGAAGUCGCCGGCCCAACCUGUAUGGGGGGG
rnacentral:rRNA from 1 species